rnacentral:rRNA from 1 species
AAAGGGAGCGUAGGCGGCCUGUUAAGUCAGGGGUGAAAGACGGUAGCUCAACUAUCGCAGUGCCCUUGAUACUGAUGGGCUUGAAUUGACUAGAGGUAGGCGGAAUGUGACAAGUAGCGGUGAAAUGCAUAGAUAUGUCACAGAACACCGAUUGCGAAGGCAGCUUACUAUGGUCUUAUUGACGCUGAGGCACGAAAGCGUGGGGAUCAAACAGGAUUAGAUACCCUGGU